GCCGGCGUGGCGGAAUGGCAGACGCGGUGGACUCAAAAUCCACUAUCCGCGAGGAUGUAUGGGUUCAAGUCCCAUCGCCGGCAC
rnacentral:tRNA from 1 species